CCUACGGGUGGCAGCAGUAGGGAAUUUUGCGCAAUGGGGGAAACCCUGACGCAGCAACGCCGCGUGAUCGAUGAAGCCCUUCGGGGUGUAAAGAUCUGUCAGUGGGGACGAAACCUGACGGUACCCACAGAGGAAGCACCGGCUAACUCCGUGCCAGCAGCCGCGGUAAUACGGGGGGUGCAAGCGUUGUCCGGAAUCAUUGGGCGUAAAGAGUUCGUAGGUGGCACGUUAAGUCUGGUGUUAAAGGCGGAAGCUCAACUUCCGUAGGGCACUGGAUACUGGCGAGCUUGAAUGCGGUAGAGGUAAAGGGAAUUCCUGGUGUAGCGGUGAAAUGCUUAGAUAUCACGAAGAACUCCGAUUGCGAAGGCAGCUUACUAAACUGCCACUGACAUUGAUGCUCGAAAGUGUGGGUAUCAAACAGGAUUAGAUACCCGAGUAGUC
rnacentral:rRNA from 1 species